GCAGGUGGCUCAGUGGUGGAGCUCCUGCCUAGCACGCACGAAGUCCUGGGCUCCAUCCCCAGUACAGCA
rnacentral:tRNA from 1 species